GGGCGGGUGGCGAAAUGGUAUACGCGCGUGGCUUAGGACCACGUGGAGCAAUCCGUGGAGGUUCAAGUCCUCUCCCGCCCACAA
rnacentral:tRNA from 1 species